rnacentral:tRNA from 1 species
GCUGGCGUAGCUCAGUUGGUAGAGCAGGACUUUCGUAAAGUCAAGGUCGGAGGUUCAACUCCUCUCGCCAGCU